rnacentral:rRNA from 1 species
GGGAGCUCUCCCAUAUGGUCGACCUGCAGGCGGCCGCGAAUUCACUAGUGAUUAGAGUUUGAUCAUGGCUCAGAUUGAACGCUGGCGGCAUGCCUUACACAUGCAAGUCGAACGGCAGCACGGGAGCAAUCCUGGUGGCGAGUGGCGAACGGGUGAGUAAUACAUCGGAACGUGUCCUGGAGUGGGGGAUAGCCCGGCGAAAGCCGGAUUAAUACCGCAUACGCUCUGUGGAGGAAAGGGGGGGAUCUUCGGACCUCUCGCUCAAGGGGCGGCCGAUGGCAGAUUAGCUAGUUGGUGGGGUAAAGGCCUACCAAGGCGACGAUCUGUAGCUGGUCUGAGAGGACGACCAGCCACACUGGGACUGAGACACGGUCCAGACUCCUACGGGAGGCAGCAGUGGGGAAUUUUGGACAAUGGGCGCAAGCCUGAUCCAGCAAUGCCGCGUGAGUGAGGAAGGCCUUCGGGUUGUAAAGCUCUUUUGUCAGGGAAGAAACGGUGCGGACUAAUAAUCUGCGCUAAUGACGGUACCUGAAGAAUAAGCACCGGCU